GGGAUUGCCCUAGUAACGGCGAGUGAAGCGGCAACAGCUCAAAUUUGAAAUCUGGCUCUUUUAGGGUCCGAGUUGUAAUUUGCAGAGGGCGCUUUGGUGUUGGCAGCGGUCCAAGUUCCUUGGAACAGGACGUCACAGAGGGUGAGAAUCCCGUACGUGGUCGCUAGCCUUCGCCGUGUAAAGCCCCUUCGACGAGUCGAGUUGUUUGGGAAUGCAGCUCUAAAUGGGAGGUAAAUUUCUUCUAAAGCUAAAUACUGGCCAGAGACCGAUAGCGCACAAGUAGAGUGAUCGAAAGAUGAAAAGCACUUUGGAAAGAGAGUCAAAUAGCACGUGAAAUUGUUGAAAGGGAAGCGCUUGCAGCCAGACUUGCCUGUAGUUGCUUAUCCGGACUCUUGUCCGGUGCACUCUUCUGCGGGCAGGCCAGCAUCAGUUUGGGCGGUUGGAUAAAGGUCUCUAUCACGUACCUCUCUUUGGGGAGGCCUUAUAGGGGAGGCGACAUGCAACCAGCCUGGAUUGAGGUCCGCGCAUCUGCUAGGAUGCUGGCGUAAUGGCUGUAAGCGGCCCGUCUUGAAACACGGACCAAGGAGUCUAACAUCUAUGCGAGUGUUUGGGUGUUAAGCCCAGACGCGUAAUGAAAGUGAAUGGAGGUGGGAACCCUUUGGGUGCACCAUCGACCGAUCCUGAUGUCUUCGGAUGGAUUUGAGUAAGAGCAUGGCUGUUGGGACCCGAAAGAUGGUGAACUAUGCUUGAAUAGGGUGAAGCCAGAGGAAACUCUGGUGGAGGCUCGCAGCGGUUCUGACGUGCAAAUCGAUCGUCAAAUUUGGGCAUAGGGGCG
rnacentral:rRNA from 1 species